GCCUGGGUGGCUCAAUUGGUUAAGCAUCUGACUUCAGCUCAGGUCAUGAUCUUACAGCUCAUGGGGGUUCAAGCCCCAUGUCGGGCU
rnacentral:tRNA from 1 species